CCCUGUUUUCCUCUCUUCGUUUUGCUGUGGAUGAAGGAGAGAGAGAGAGAAAGAGAGAGAAAGGGGGUGGGGGGAGAAGCGAGACAGAUGGCAGAGUGGAGAGGCAGCAGCCAGUGCCGGCACUGCCCAGCCUGGGCGGACCCAGCUCCCCCCCUCUGCCAGCCUCCAAAUGCCACCCUUCCCCCAUCCUCCCUCCCCCCAUCCCCCCAGCUUGGCACUGAUCUCGGAGAGAGAGGGAGGGAGGCUGGGCAAAGAGCAUCUGUUCCCUCCAUUCUCCCAGCUCCAUCGGCUGCCAACCUAGGGCCAUCGCCUGCCUCAUCACCCCUCCGCCCGCCCGCCUGCCCGCCUACCCACCCAAUCCCAAAUGGGUGCUGGAUCAGGUGCUGAAUCUGGCUGCCUCCUCGGGACCUCCUUCCCGUUCCCUCUUAGGCAUGGGGAGUAGAGCGACAGACGGAGAGAGGCGUGAGGACACAAAGGAGAAAGCACGCCAUUGCCAAGACCCCAAGGAAGGAGGAUGGAGAGGCUGGCAGUCCUGCCUGGCCCCCAGCCAGUUUCCUGCUAAAGAUGGCCAAAUCCUCUCGCCUGGUUUGAAGACCACAUAGCCUGGUGACGCUGGGGAUGGGAGGAAGGAGGCGGCUGUGGUACAAGCAAGAAAAGUGAUAGAGAAGGUGGAAAUGGCUGGAUUGAAAGGAAGACAACUGAUGGGGGAUGACAGGCACCUGAAUCAAGGCAAGCAGCAGAAGCCAGA